rnacentral:miRNA from 1 species
UGACUGCCGGAAACCACUGAACC